rnacentral:misc_RNA from 1 species
AAUUCUCAAAGUCAAUAUGCUUCUUUUGAAGUGUGUUGGCUUUGGAUGUGGAGGUUGCAGGCUUUAAUGAGUCGGCUCCUCUAAAAUGCAUUAGUGGCUUUGUCGAUCCCCAUUAUUCGGUGUGAUAGUAAUAUCCGCAUCGUAAACUAAUGGCUAGUUCAUGCAAUGGCAAUUUUAAAGCUGCUUUCUAAUCGUCUUCGGACAAUUUGAACC